rnacentral:lncRNA from 1 species
UGAGCAAAACACAAAGAACAAAUUUGUCAAAAUAGUCUCUAAUAAUAGGACCAAAUAAUUAUCCUUAAAAGAACAAAUUUGUCUGACAUUUGAUAUUUUGGAGGAUCAAAUUGGUAUUUUGUAUUUCUUAGGGAUCAAAUAAGUGUCCGUGUUUUUUUUUAUCGAGGAUCAGUUUAGACAUUUACUCUUUAAAACCUUAUUUUAUACUGAAUGACCAUUAGAACCGAUGAAAUUAAAGAUAUACCUGAUUUAGUAAUAUUUCCUUGGAUUGAGAAGUCAGUGAUUCACAAUUUAUUGCAUGAAGAUAUUUUAUGUUUGGUGGCAGGCCUCUGAUUUCUCGAAGCUCCAUACAAUUAUUCAUAGUAAGUUGCUUCAAAGAAUGACAUUCAUUGAUGCAUGAAGGAAGGAUUGUGAUGGUGCUGUAAUCAAGGGAUAUAGAAGUGUAGCAAGAAAUUCAUAUGGCAAAUAGCAAAAGCUCAAGUCAACAUAUCUGGGAACCAAACGAGAACUAGCAUUUAUCACAUCUGAAGACAGUGUUUCUGGCAGCACUUGACCUUUUCCCUUCGUAAUUUGUGCAAGCCCCUUGCAACAGUAAGCCUCCAAAGUAUCAAGUUUUGGCAACAUAAAAAUACUACUUGGUAAUUCAAGUAGCUUAUUGCAUCUGUCUAUAGUCAGCUUUUCAAGCCCCACAAGAAGUCCAAUGGAGAAGGGCAAAUCACAUAUCCCACUAUCACUCAAAACAAGGUAUGUUAUGUUUUUCAUCUUCCCUAGAAUUUCUGGAAAAUUCUCAAGAGAUGUACAAUUCCUAAGGGACAUGGUUUUAAGUGAAGGUAAGUUGAUACCACGGGGAAGAAUCUUGAGACCAGUGCAACGAUUAAGAUUCAAAUCUUCAAGUUUUCCAAGGAACCCAACGGAAUCAUGAACUUCAACCAAAUUCUUGCAGGAAUCAAGAUGCAGUUUCUUCAAAUUCGGAGCACCAGACAUGUCAGGUACUUGCUUUAAAGAUUGACACUUGCUUAACUUCAUUUCCUUCAAAGAUUUAAAUUUCUAAAAAAAUGCAAACAAUAACUAUUUUAUGAAUUUUUAGUAGCUAGGUCUUAUUAUUAAAACAUAGAAAACAAAAAAAAUAAAAUACCAUGAUCAUUUGGUUGCUGAAUGUAAAAAGGCCCAUAGACAAGUCAAGCAUGACAAGUUUCUUUGGAUUAUAAUGAGCCGGCAACGACGAUUCAGGAUAAUCACACCAUUUCAGAACUCUUAAACUUUUUGGGAGAUGAUUAGGUCCUCUGGAAAAGCGAGCUUUUUCUAUUACCAGUAUUUUGAGGUUUUCCAUAUUCAUAAAUGCAUUUCCAUCCCACUGGACUUCUUUAUCUUUGAGUAGGUUUAGCACAAUGACCUCAGUUUUAUCAGACCCCUUCAAACCAAAAACACUAAAUAAUAUACACACCUCUGAUUAUACAACAUAGUAAUAUGACCUAAUAAAUGAUUUUAAGUGGUGGCAAUUCUCACGCCACCCCAUGAGCUAGAUUUUCAGGUUGAGUUAAGCUCAAACCCAUUCUAAGAUGAUAUUGGAGCCUAUCCAAGUUGAAGUCGGCCACCUGCAGAUGCAAAUGACAAACUUGGGCGUGGAGUUGGUUCUAACUUCACCCCAUGAACAAACUUUUGGGAUUGAGUUAGAGACCCGUAUUCAUAUUCUAAGAGUCAACAAAAUAUGAAAAUAUACAGGAUUAAAAAUCAGAUUGGUUUUCUCAAAAAAGUAAAAAAGAAUAAGGUUCCUAGAGCAAUAAUCCCUUCACGUACCUUGUUCUCUUUGAAAACAUGAAGUAUAUCUUUGGAGAACCAUAAUCUACUGCGUUCACCUGGCUUUGAGGGUGAUUCCAGUCUCACAAUUUCUCUACCCAUAUCUUCAAUCAUGUCAUGCAUCCUCACACUAUAUUCAUCAAUUUUUAUUAGACUCUUAUCAAUCAACACCUGGAUAGCAUAGUCUGGGGCGAAGCCACGACCACUACAAAGUAUGUUCAUGACAUCAGUUAGUUUGUAUCCUUUGAAGAAGCAAGCGAUGUCUAAAAAGAUUUCCUUCUCAAAUUCUUUUAAGCCAUCAUAACUUACUCGUAGGAUUUCCUGAAUAUUAUCAUGAGGAAUUCUCUCAUAAGUAUCUAUAGCAGAUUUCCAUUCUAAUAUUGUUCUACCAUAUAAGUCAGAACCUAUUAUUUCAACAGCCAAUGGAAGACCAUUAAAAUAAAGUACUACUUUCUUUGAAAUGUCCAAAUGACUAGGAUCAACUUCUUUUGAUUUAAAAGCAUUCCAAACAAACAAUUCAAGGGCUUCUUCACAAUUCAAUCCUUCUACUUCAUAGACUCUUUUAACACCAUAAACAUGCAACAAAUGCUUAUCCCUUGUUGUUAUAAUAACUCUGCUGCCAGAACCAAACCAAUCAAGUCCACCAGCAAGUGCUUUUAGUUGCUCCAGACUGUUAACAUCAUCCAAAAUCAAUAGAAUUUUUUUCCCACGAAGCCUACUUUUGAUUAUAGGAAUUCCUUUAUUUAAACUGCACAACUUAAGAUCUUUCUCUCCAGCUAAUUCAAAAAGAAGCAUCUCCUGUAGUUGUACCAAACCACGCUUCAUAGAAUUUUCUCUAAUAUCACCAAGAAAACAGAGACUAUCAAAUUGGUCAGCAAUGCAAUUGUAUAUAGCACAUGCAAGUGUUGUUUUACCUAAUCCACCCAUUCCGUAAAUCCCUACCAUUUGAGCCCCCUCAUCUGAUUCAACUUCUAGAAGUGAGUUCAAUUUUUGUACUCGAGACUCUAACCCAACAGGGUAUUUAGCCACAUGUAAAGGUCUACGAUUAAUCUUUUUAGAGACCUCUUGAAUGAUCUUGCCAAUGAACUUAUACUCGUACCUGGUCAAUUGCCAAAUUUAAAUUUUAAAUCAAGUUGAUAUCAUAGUAAAUUAGUAAUGAACAUUGCAUCCACUAAAUUAUUUAUGAUAGAGAAAUUUAAUAAGUGAAAAAUAUGGAUGAGUCACGCACCCGUGUUUGAAAUGCGAACCUACCAAAUUUGCUGCUUCUUGCAAAGCUAACUUCCACUGUUUGACCUUCUCUGUGUCAAAGGUUUUUCUUUCACAUUUGGCAAGUGCUUCUGCAUAACUCCCUUUCAGAUGGCGCACAUCAGAAGGGUCAACUUUAUAAAAANNNNNNNNNNNNNNNNNNNNNNNNNNNNNNNNNNNNNNNNNNNNNNNNNNNNNNNNNGUUCUUCCAAGCAGAAAGUGGAUGAUGCAUAGUUUUCUGAAAAAAUCACAACUGCAAUCCUUGAUUGUUGGAUUGCCAUCAUGAGAGCUGGUGUGAUUUCUUCUCCUUUUCUAAGUUCUUCAUCAUCUAUGAAAGUGUUGAUUCCUUUUCCAACAAGAGCAUUAUAAAGGUUUCCGGUAAAACCCAUGCGAGUAUCCUCCCCUCGAAAACUGAGAAAAACAUCAUAAGCCCAUCCAUAAGUGAUGGAAGAAGAGGAUGAGGAUUUUAAUUUUCUCAUGGUAGCCAUAGCAUUGAUUCUUGAGAUGAGAAGGAAAGAUAUGUUGUAGCCGCUUCAUGAAUCAUGGAGAGAGACCAGAUAUAUAUGAUAUUUAGAAACCUGGUUGAUCAGCAAUGAGGUCAUACAAUUGCAAUGCCUUAAAGACCGUUUCCUUGUCCACCUAGUGAGUUGACUUUUGUUUUUUUAAUAACAUUUGUUAUAACUUUCUAUUUCUUAUAAUACAAGAUAACAUUUUUAAAAAAAGAGUUGUAUGUAUGUUCUAUAUAUGCAUGAUAAAUGCUUAUAAUACGACUUUUUUGAUACGUUCGUGAUCACACUUUGUGAUUGCUUUAUUUUUAAGCUGUCAAUUUAGUUGAUUCUUAAUUAAUUACUUUUUCAUAAGCUCACACAACUUUUUUAUACGUUCGUGAUCACACAAAUUGUAUUUGUAAUGGUGUUAUAAUACAUAUAUUGAAUGGCUAAUGAAUUAGCACUAAUCUAGGAAGUUGUACAAUUAAAUGAAUAUUGGCAGAUUUACUUAAUUCUAACACUCCCGCUCAAGCUAGAUCAUACAUGUCAUAAAUAGAUAAAUGACUGAUUCUUGUUAUGUGUGUAUAGUUAGUGUUAAGAAGUCCCACAUCGGCUGUGAGAUGACCCGAACAAGAGUUUAUAAGUAAGAGACAAUCCUCACCUUACAAGCUGGUUUUGUAAGGAUUAGUUAGGCCCAAUACUCAUUUCUAGGAUGGUAUUAGAGCCUAUCCACGAUUCGUUGGGCCACUUCGUCGGGCCGCCUGCAAUCAGGUUUCUGAUCGGGCCCACCCCUCCACCAUUCAUAUGACUAAGUGUUUAUAAACUAGAGGCAAUCCUCACUUUACAAGCCGGAAGUAUUGGGCCUAACUCAAUCCUACAAAACCAGCUUGUAAAGUGAGAAUUGCCUCUAGUUUAUAAACAGUUAGUCAGACCAUAUCCCAACCGAUGUGGGACUUCUUUAACAGUUAGGAUAGACACACAUACAUAUGUAUGGAUCAAGUGUAGUGAUCCUCUCCUACUUCUGCAGCACACCCAGCUAGAGGCCGAUUGUUGGAUUAAUCAAAUAACUGAGAGAUGAAUUUUCUUAGUCAUUAGAUUAAUCAAAUGGUUAACCUCAGCUAAACGGUUUAAUCCCUGGAUUUGCUAAAACUAAAGGUGGAAAUAAGCUUUCUUAGACCUAAGCCCGGCAUAUUGCCACGUAUAUCUUAUCAGACUUUCUUAAGGUAUCAUUUGACUUUUUUAAAAGUUUGGUUGGAUGGAAAGGUCAUUUAAGUUCAUAUUGUUGCUACAAUAAGGCCAAAAGACAUUUAAAUCUAUGUAACAAGGCAUUUAAAUAAGUCAUAAAGUUAUUACUAAUUAAUUUAUAAACUCAACUAAAUAUGUAAUAUAACAUGUUUAAAUCUUUACAACAUAUAUAACAUUAUAAUAACUCAACUCUAUAUAUAAUAAGUCUCAAACUACCAUAGUUGGUGGUCUAGUCCUUUAUUAUGUUUGGGCCUUGUAUGAUUGUUUGUAUCUCUCUUUGUGACUCUUUGUAAACUUUGGUAGUCUAUCUUGGCACAUCUUGUGCUGAGGAGGCUUUUUUGUUAAUAUAUAUCAUUUUGGCUUGUUCAAAAAAAGAGAUAACAUUAUAAUAAAAAUCUAAUAUAAUGAUGAUAUUAACAAUGAUACAUACUAUUAUAUUAUUUAUAUAGUUAUAUUUAUAUAAGUGUUUUUACAUAAAAUAUUUAUUUAUAAGGUAGAGAUACAUGAAGGGACACUUUCUUUUUUAUAAAGUAAAAAGACACUUUUAAGUGCUAAAAUGUUUAAACAGAAAGCAGAGGAAAUCAUACAUUCAUUGACUUUUAAGGAAAUCAUACAUUCAUUGACUUUUAAGUGGUUUAUAAACACACUACAAAGCAUUAUCAACAUUCGUAAUCUUCUAUCCACUCCUCUAUCUUAAAUCAUACCUGAUCAUGAUGAGAGUAGCUACUACUAGCUAUAUCUUGUAACUUUUUUUGCAAUCUGUUAUCCCUACAGGUGACCAUUUUCUUUUCUUUUCCUAUUGCAAAGCUAACCUCCACUGUUUCACCUUCUCCUUGUCAAUGGUUUUUUUUCUUUCAUAAUUGGCCAGUGCUUUUGCAUAGCUACUUUUCUGAUGGCGGACAUUAGAAGGGUCAACUUGAUAAAAAUCUGGCCAAACCAUCCUGCCCUUGUGUUUUAUGCACUCCAUGAUCUUUGUAAGCUCUUCCAAACAAAAAGUGGAUGAUGCAUAGUUUUCUGAAAAAAUCACAAUUGCAAUUCUUGAUUGUUGGAUUGCCAUCAUGAGAGCUGGUGUGAUUUCUUCUCCUUUCCUAAGUUCUUGAUCAUCUAUGAAUGUGUUGAUUCCUUUUCCACAAAGAGCAUUAUAAAGGUUCCUGGUAAAACCAUUACGAGUAUCCUCUCCUUGAAAACUGAGGAAAACAUCAUAAACCCAUUCAUAGGUGAAGGAAGAUGAAGCCCCAAAGUUUAACUCUUUCAUCAUAGACAUAACAAUGACUCUUGAGAGGGAAAAAGAUGUAGCAACUAGAUAAAAUAUGUAUAUGAUAUGUAGGAAUUUGGUUGAGCUACAAUGGAAUCUGUGUAUCAGACAAUUGCAUUGCCUUAAAUACCAUUUCCUUUCUUACGCAGUUUGAUAUAUGUUUUCUAUUUCUAUAAUACAAGAUACCAUUUUUUUCUUUCUAAAUAAGAGAUAGAUAAACACAUUCUUAAUUACACUUGAGAUUGACUAUAUUUUUACCAACUCUAAUGAGUUGGUUCAUAGAGAGUGGAUCAAUUAUAUAAAUCUAGUUUAGCAUUAUCUUUAGAAAAGUUUGAGGCCGGCCUUCCUUGUAUAUUUAAUACUACAGCAGCUAUCUUGAUGAAAUUUCAAUAUAACUUUCAUUAAAUUUUGUUAUGUUUAGUUAAACUUUUUAAAUUUCGUGACUGUAUAGGUAAGAUUUGUAGGUUUGUAGAGUAAGUUUUUCGUUUAACUUCUAAUAAAUGCGUUUUUCGUAAAAUGUGACAAAUAUAUGAGACAAAACUUUUCACAUAACUGACGUCUUACACAUUUUUUAAUACUAGAUUAGAUAAUAUUUUUUUAUCACAAGGUGAUAUUUUAUAUAUUUAUUAUAUUUCUGCAACUAUUUAAUUUGAAACUUAAUAAAAAAAUUUACCAUAAAAUUUUACAGUCUUUUGAUUGAAAAUUUUAAUAAAUUUCCUGAGAAAAAAAUGCAGGUAUAUGGUUACAAUUAGCUUGAACUUUUUUUUGAUUAAGAGCUUGAAUUUUUAGCACAUAGUGAAUAUAUCUAAUGCAGUUAGACAUUACAGAGAAGGAAUAAUAUAUUUCUUAAUUGCAGCAAACUUGUUUUAAAGCAUGCCAAAUAAAUCAUGACCAUACUUAAGAUCAAUCAGGCCAACAUGUGAAACCAAAAUAUAAACAAAGCUUUUAUUUGUGAAGAAAAACAUGUUAUAGCAAAAAUAGUAAAUUACAUAAUAAGCUAGUUACUUUAUUUAUAUAUACAGUGCAGCAACUUGUCAUGAGGAGGAAGUAUCUCCUUCACAAGAGGAUAUUCCUUCAUGGAAUUUAGCCACAUGAAACAUUUCGGCGUGUUACAGGCCUUGUAAAAUGCUUCGUAGAUGCAACAAGUUGCGGCGAGCACAAUGUCAAGGAGUUCCAAUGUUUCGCUGUUGAAGAAUCAGAACUUCUCAUCAAAACCUUUCUUGACCCCUUCUUCAAACACACACCCAAGUAUCUCAACCAUGCCUCCAAUAGCUUCCUUUCUAUCUUCCCCUUUUAAUUGGAGAACGCGGUAGGAACUAGGAAUGAUCUAACUGAACAUUGUCAAAGUUAACAUGUUAUUGUUAUUAUAUUUAAAAAGUUAAAAAUUAAAACUACAUGGGUAAGUACUAACAUUGGUGCAUGCAAGACGAUUAUUUUGAUAUCUCAAUUAUUUUGUACUAACAUUGAUAUCUAACUGUUAAGGAGAAAAGCAAUCAAAUAACCAGGAAGAUAUUUUUUUUUACAGAAAUAUUUAUCCAGUUAGAGAUAUGUAAAAGGAUAAUUUUUUUGAUAGGAUAUAUUGCACUUUUAAAUAAAUGCAAGAAAAUUUAAACUAGAAAACAGAGGAAAUCAUACAUUCAUUAGUUUUUUACAGGUCUACAAAUACCAUAAAACAGAAUCAAUGUUCACGAGCUUCUGUUCACUCAUCUAUCUUAAACCAUACCUGAUGAGAGUAGCUACCGCCUAGACCUUGCGAUAUUAUUGGGUUAUCUUUUAUUUCCACGCGUGACAUUUUUCUUUUCUUUUCCUUCUAUUGCAACCUUAGGAUUGAUAAUUUGAAUAUCUGCCAUGCUUGUUUUUUGUUCCUGUACAUGAAGUUUCAUCCAUUUCAUAUCUUGUCCACAGUUUUUUACUAAUGAAAUCUCAGCAUGGUUCCAUCCAUUCUUAAUACGUAGUUUUCCAAUCAUAUCAAGACUAGCUUUGAGCUGCAGAUCCAGCAGAAUUAUAUGAUUUAAAUUUGUAUCAAUUGCAUUAGUUUUAGACCAACUAACAUGGAGAAAGUUCGUGAGCCGUUUACUGCCAUUAAUGAUCAGGUCAAAGUCACACUUCAGACAACAUAUUGAACAAUAACAACCACCUGCAAUUACCGCAACACUAAGAGCCAUCGGUGGCAAUUUGUUUCGGAACUUGAAGGACAUAGACAGUGCCUGUCUAUUUUGAUGGAACCAGCUUGGGAUAGUUGAUCCUGGAAAACAGAUAUAUUUGGCCCCAGAAUUCGGAAGUAUCUGUCGAUCAAAUAUAAUUAAAAAGUUUGAAUUAAACCUGUUGGAUUAUGGAAUACAUUUAUUUUAAUUUUAAAGGAAAAACUAUUGAUGAUGUUAAAGAUAUGAUACCUUAUUCAGUAACAUUUUCUUGGAUUGGGAAGUCAAUGAUGUACAAUUUAUUGCACUAAAAUGUUUUAUGUUUGGUGGCAGGUCUCUGAUUUCUUGAAGCUCUGUACAAUUAUUCAAAGUAAGUUCCUUCAAAGAGUGGCAGGCAGUGAUGCAUGAUGGAAGGAUUGUGAUACUGCUGUAAUCAAGGGAUAAAUAUGUGACACAGUGAAAGCAAGGAAGAAGUGCAACGAGAAAUUCAUCUGAUAGAUGGCAAAAGCUGAAGUCAACAACACUUCUCACACCUGAAGACGUUUCCUGCAAUUGACCUUUUCCCUUCUUGAUUCGCACAAGCCCCUUGCAACUGUAAGCCUCCAAGGUCUCAAGUUUUGGCAACAUAAAAAUACUACUUGGUAGUUCAAGUAGCUUGCUGCAUCUGUCUAUAGACAGGUUUGCAAGCCCCACAAGACGUCCCAUGGAAAAAGGCAAUUCACUUAUUCCACUAUCACUCAAAACAAGGUAUGUUAUGUUUUCCAUCUUCCCUAGAAUUUCUGGAAAAUUCUUAAGAGAUGUACAAUUCCUAAGGGACAUGGUUUUAAGUGAAGGUAAGUUGAUGCCACGGGGAAGAAUCUUGAGCCCAGUGCAACGAUUAAGAUUCAAAUCUUCAAGUUUUCCAAGGAACCCAACAGAAUCAUGAACUUCAACCAAAUUCUUGCAGGAAUCAAGAUGCAGUUUCUUCAAAUUUGGAGCUCCAGACAUGUCAGGUACUUGCUUUAAGGAUUGACAACUGCUUAACUUCAUUUCCGUCAAAGAUUUAAAUUUCUGAAAAAUGAAAUCAAUAACUAUUUUAUGACUUUUUAAGUAGCUUUAUCUUAUUAUUUAAACUCAGAAAACAUAUAAAAUAUCAAUACCAUGAUUUUUUGAUUGCCGAAUGUAAAAAGGCCCAUAGACAUGUCAAGUAUGACAAGUGUUUUUGGAUCAUAAUGAGCCGGCAAUGACGAUUCAGGAUAAUCACACCAUGUUAGCACUUUUAAACUUUUUGGGAAAUGAUUAGGUCCUUUGGAAAAGUGAGCUUUUUCUAUUACCAGUAUUUUGAGGUUUUCCAUAUUCUUCAAUGCAUUUCCAUCCCAUUGGACUUCUUUAUCUUUGAGUAGACGUAGCAUGAUGAUCUCAGUUUUAUCAGAUCCCUUCAAACCAAAACACUAAAUAUUAUACACCUCUGAUUAUACAGGAUAUCUUAGCGCUAAUAAAUAUUGUCAAUGGUUUGAAUAACAAUCCCACUUUGGACAAUGAUAUGACCUGAUAAAUGGUUAUAAGUAGUGUCAAUCUUCUCCCCACCCAAGAACUAGAUUUUGAGGUUGAGUUUAGGUCAAAUCUAUUCUAAAAUGAUAGUAGAAUCUAUCCGAGUUGAAGUUGGCCACCCACAGAUGCAGAUGUCAAACUUCACCCUCCUGGCAUCUAAUGUUAUGCUUGGGGGAUGUGUUGAACAAUGGUUAUAAGUGGAGCCCAACCUCAAUUCAUGAGCAAACUUUUGGGUUUGAGUUAGAGGCCAAUUCAAAUUCUAAGAGUCAUCAAACAAUGGAGAUAUGCUAGAUUAUAAGUCAGAUGUGUUUUCUCAAAAA